CAGUCGAACGGCAGCACAGCAGUAGCAAUACUGUGGGUGGCGAGUGGCGGACGGGUGAGGAAURCAUSGGAAUCUGCCYWKUYGUGGGGGAUAACGUAGGGAAACUUACGCUAAUACCGCAUACGWCCKRMRGGWGAAAGYGGSGGACCKYMRGGCSUCRCGCGACURGAUGAGCCSAUGYCGGAUUAGCUAGUUGGCGGGGUAAAGGCCCACCAAGGCGACGAUCCGUAGCUGGUCUGAGAGGAUGAUCAGCCACACUGGAACUGAGACACGGUCCAGACUCCUACGGGAGGCAGCAGUGGGGAAUAUUGGACAAUGGGCGCAAGCCUGAUCCAGCCAUGCCGCGUGWGUGAAGAAGGCCUUCGGGUUGUAAAGCWCUUUUGUCCGGAAAGAAAAGSUUCGGGUUAAUAMCCCGGAGUKAUGACGGUACCGGAAGAAUAAGCACCGGCUAACUUCGUGCCAGCAGCCGCGGUAAUACGAAGGGUGCAAGCGUUACUCGGAAUUACUGGGCGUAAAGCGUGCGUAGGUGGUUYGUUAAGUCUGAUGUGAAAGCCCUGGGCUCAACCUGGGAAYKGCAUUGGAAACUGGCUGACUAGAGUGCGGUAGAGGGKWGUGGAAUUCCCGGUGUAGCAGUGAAAUGCGUAGAUAUCGGGAGGAACAUCUGUGGCGAAGGCGACACCCUGGACCAGCACUGACACUGA
rnacentral:rRNA from 1 species